rnacentral:rRNA from 1 species
CGGCAACAGCUCAAAUUUGAAAUCUGGCUUCGGCCCGAGUUGUAAUUUGUAGAGGAUGCUUUUGGCACGGCUCCUUCUGAGUCCACUGGAACGUGGCGCCUUAGAGGGUGAGAGCCCCGUAUAGUUGGAAGCCAAGCCUGUGUAAAGCUCCUUCGAC